UACGUAGGGGGCUAGCGUUGUCCGGAAUCAUUGGGCGUAAAGAGCGUGUAGGCGGCCCGGUAAGUCCGCUGUGAAAGUCGGGGGCUCAACCCUCGAAUGCCGGUGGAUACUGUCGGGCUAGAGUGCGGAAGAGGCGAGUGGAAUUCCUGGUGUAGCGGUGAAAUGCGCAGAUAUCAGGAGGAACACCAAUUGCGAAGGCAGCUCGCUAGGACGUAAACUGACGCUGGAGACGCGAAAGCGUGGGGAGCAAACAGG
rnacentral:rRNA from 1 species